rnacentral:rRNA from 1 species
UACAGAGGGUGCAAGCGUUGUCCGGAAUCAUUGGGCGUAAAGAGCGCGUAGGCGGUCCGGUAAGUCGGUUGUGAAAACUGGGGGGCUCAACCCUCAGAGGCCGACCGAUACUGUCGGGCUAGAGUCCGGAAGAGGCGAGUGGAAUUCCUGGUGUAGCGGUGAAAUGCGCAGAUAUCAGGAGGAACACCAAUGGCGAAGGCAGCUCGCUGGGACGGUACUGACGCUGAGGCGCGAAAGCGUGGGGAGCAAACAGG